rnacentral:rRNA from 1 species
CGCUGGCGGUAUGCUUAACACAUGCAAGUCGAACGGUAGCAGAAGAGAGCUUGCUCUCUUGCUGACGAGUGGCGGACGGGUGAGUAAUGCUUGGGAAUCUGCCUAGUAGUGGGGGACAACACGAGGAAACUCGUGCUAAUACCGCAUACGUCCUACGGGAGAAAGUGGGGGAUCUUCGGACCUCACGCUAUUAGAUGAGCCCAAGUCGGAUUAGCUUGUUGGUGAGGUAACGGCUCACCAAGGCGACGAUCCGUAGCUGGUUUGAGAGGAUGACCAGCCACACUGGGACUGAGACACGGCCCAGACUCCUACGGGAGGCAGCAGUGGGGAAUAUUGGACAAUGGGCGAAAGCCUGAUCCAGCAAUACCGCGUGUGUGAAGAAGGCCUGCGGGUUGUAAAGNACUUUCAAUUGUGAAGAAAAGCUUAGGGCGUAAUACCUCUGAGUCUUGACGUUAACUUUAGUAAGAAGCACCGGCUAACUCCGUG